rnacentral:rRNA from 1 species
GACGAACGCUGGCGGCGUGCUUAACACAUGCAAGUCGAACGGAAAGGCCCUGCUUGCAGGGUACUCGAGUGGCGAACGGGUGAGUAACACGUGGGUGAUCUGCCCUGCACUUCGGGAUAAGCCUGGGAAACUGGGUCUAAUACCGGAUAGGAGCCAUUUUUAGUGUGAUGGUUGGAAAGUUUUUUCGGUGUAGGAUGAGCUCGCGGCCUAUCAGCUUGUUGGUGGGGUAAUGGCCUACCAAGGCGGCGACGGGUAGCCGGCCUGAGUGGGUGGCCGGCCACAUUGGGACUGAGAGACGGCCCAGACUCCGACGGGAGGCAGCAGUGGGGAAUAUUGCACAAUGGGCGCAGGCCUGAUGCAGCGACGCCGCGUGGGGGAUGACGGCCUUCGGGUUGUAAACUCCUUUCGCUAGGGACGAAGCUUUUUGUGACGGUACCUAGAGAAGAAGCACCGGCUAACUACGUG